UUGGGGUUUUCAUAACCUUUUUAAUUGUCUUUGCAGUAUGGAGCCUCAGAUCGAUGAGGAGCUACAGUGCUUGCACCCCGGUCCGCUACAGGAUUCAGUGUUGACGCGACAACCAUAUCACCGAUCAGAGGCCAUUUGGAAUGGCGAGGACCCGGGCCCACUUGUGUGCCGUGGUCGCACUAAGGAGAUGGCAAACGUUCAGAUGGAAGAUAAUCGGGUGAUUGACAUUAUCAAAUUGCUAAGGUUGGAAGGAUUGUUUAGAGCCCCUUCCAAA